UCGUCGUGUGCGCGCAUGUGUGGCGUCCGGAGUGUACGCGUGUCCGUCGCCGAGUGCGUGUGUGCUGUUUCCGUUUGUUUUUUUUACACUCUCUCUCUGUCACUCCGUCGUUUUUCCCGCGCCGGCGUGCCGUCGACGAAUUUUCGGUAUUUUUUAAUUUUCUCGAAAACCACCCGCCCGCGUUGACAGUACCGCGCGUCGUGCGAAAUCCCCGAGAUUUUACGGUUUUCCGCGGUGUCCGGUCGCAACAUCGAUAUCCGAUACCUCUGGGUCCGCGUUCCAUUCGCGCCGUGUAAUUUUUCGAGUUUUUCCGUGUGUAAACCGAGUGCGAUUUUUCCGGUUUUUUUUUUUUUUCUACGCGCCACCGACGAGCGUCGCCGUCGCCGAUUUUUCGGAUUUCUACUACACGGCGGACAAGACCAUUUUCGCACUGUCGAUAUUUUUUACUGCGAAAACGGCGGGAACCUAUACUAGUACCGCUCUCGUUUUUACGGAAUAAAUCGGUGAGUACGCCGGACAAUAAUUAUUAUCAUUAGCAACUGUGUAUCGUUACGAUAUUCGCGGUAAUAACACAGUGUCUACGUAUGCCGGAUACAUAGUAUUAACGAAUAAUGUUGGACGGGACUGUUUUCCGGGAAAAAUGAAACGGGUACCGGUUUAGCAUAAAAGUAAAAAAAAAAAAAUAAUGAAAAAUAGUACCUCCGUCGCAUUCGGCUUGAUAAUUUCCCUCCAGACGUUUCUUCGGUCUAAAGUCACGCGCGUCUGUAUAAUAUUUUCCGCCGAAUAAUAAAAUAAAAUGUGAUAAAAUUCGGUAAACCGUAAAUAUUCUUGACCGGAAUACGAAAUCGUUAUUAGGAUGGGCGCGAAAUGAAGGGAAAACGAUCAACAGCGGAGGACAACGGUCCAGAUUUAGUAUUUUUGUUUGGGUUUCUAUUUUAUUUUUUAGGAAAAUGACUAUACGGCCAAACAAUUAUUAUAGUCCCGCGCACGUGCAGCCGGUAUAAAUAAUAUUGUAUUUUAUUAUU